UCCGUUGACAUUUUGAAUCGAAUCAACCAAUCAGAAACAUCUCAACCGGGAGUAGUUUUAUUUUGUAUUGUUUGUGGUGAUUCAGAGGUUGUGUGGUUUGUAUCCGGGCGGAGUAAAGUCGCUUUCGGUAAGAAAAAAGGAGAGAAGUCUCGAGGGCGGUGAACCGGAUACAGCACCCAAGUUUUCGAUUAAUAUCAAAUUAAGCGAUGUCUUCAACGGAAUUUAACGUGGGUCUCUCCGAGCGCAACGUUCGUAAAUCAUUGAGGCCUCCGGGUGGUUAUUCAAAUAUAUUUGGGUUUGGUGGAAAUGAAGAAGAAACGCCUCAGGUUAAUCCCAGGAAUCAAACAUCCGAGAUAAAAAGUUGCUUGCAAUUUGAUGACACACCGUCUGAAAGUCAGAAGAUAAAGGAUGAGCAAAAGGGCGAAAAUGAAAAGAAGGGUGAAGAGAACAAGACUGAAACACCUAAUAAAGGCACGCAACGUGUUCGUGUUCCACCAGGAGGGUUUUCUUCUGGUUUGUGGUAAAAACGAUUUUUUUGCUUGAAAUAUUGAUUAAAUAAAAUUACUUUUUAUAUACCAUUUUUUGGAUGAUAAAUUUUUUUUGAUAUGAAUAAAGGAUUAUGCUGUGUAA